rnacentral:tRNA from 1 species
GAGGGUAGAGCUCAGUGGUAGAGCACAUGCUUAGCAUGCAUGAGGUCCUGGGUUCAAUCCUCAGUACCUCCA